rnacentral:rRNA from 1 species
ACCCGAAACCCGGUGAUCUAGCCAUGGGCAGGUUGAAGGUUGGGUAACACUAACUGGAGGACCGAACCGACUAAUGUUGAAAAAUUAGCGGAUGACUUGUGGCUGGGGGUGAAAGGCCAAUCAAACCGGGAGAUAGCUGGUUCUCCCCGAAAGCUAUUUAGGUAGCGCCUCGUGAAUUCAUCUCCGGGGGUAGAGCACUGUUUCGGCAAGGGGGUCAUCCCGACUUACCAACCCGAUGCAAACUGCGAAUACCGGAGAAUGUUAUCACGGGAGACACACGGCGGGUGCUAACGUCCGUCGUGAAGAGGGAAACAACCCAGACCGCCAGCUAAGGUCCCAAAGUCAUGGUUAAGUGGGAAACGAUGUGGGAAGGCCCAGACAGCCAGGAUGUUGGCUUAGAAGCAGCCAUCAUUUAAAGAAAGCGUAAUAGCUCACUGGUCGAGUCGGCCUGCGCGGAAGAUGUAACGGGGCUAAACCAUGCACCGAAGCUGCGGCAGCGACGCUUAUGCGUUGUUGGGUAGGGGAGCGUUCUGUAAGCCUGCGAAGGUGUGCUGUGAGGCAUGCUGGAGGUAUCAGAAGUGCGAAUGCUGACAUAAGUAACGAUAAAGCGGGUGAAAAGCCCGCUCGCCGGAAGACCAAGGGUUCCUGUCCAACGUUAAUCGGGGCAGGGUGAGUCGACCCCUAAGGCGAGGCCGAAAGGCGUAGUCGAUGGGAAACAGGUUAAUAUUCCUGUACUUGGUGUUACUGCGAAGGGGGGACGGAGAAGGCUAUGUUGGCCGGGCGACGGUUGUCCCGGUUUAAGCGUGUAGGCUGGUUUUCCAGGCAAAUCCGGAAAAUCAAGGCUGAGGCGUGAUGACGAGGCACUACGGUGCUGAAGCAACAAAUGCCCUGCUUCCAGGAAAAGCCUCUAAGCAUCAGGUAACAUCAAAUCGUACCCCAAACCGACACAGGUGGUCAGGUAGAGAAUACCAAGGCGCUUGAGAGAACUCGGGUGAAGGAACUAGGCAAAAUGGUGCCGUAACUUCGGGAGAAGGCACGCUGAUAUGUAGGUGAAGCGACUUGCUCGUGGAGCUGAAAUCAGUCGAAGAUACCAGCUGGCUGCAACUGUUUAUUAAAAACACAGCACUGUGCAAACACGAAAGUGGACGUAUACGGUGUGACGCCUGCCCGGUGCCGGAAGGUUAAUUGAUGGGGUCAGCGCAAGCGAAGCUCUUGAUCGAAGCCCCGGUAAACGGCGGCCGUAACUAUAACGGUCCUAAGGUAGCGAAAUUCCUUGUCGGGUAAGUUCCGACCUGCACGAAUGGCGUAAUGAUGGCCAGGCUGUCUCCACCCGAGACUCAGUGAAAUUGAACUCGCUGUGAAGAUGCAGUGUACCCGCGGCAAGACGGAAAGACCCCGUGAACCUUUACUAUAGCUUGACACUGAACAUUGA